rnacentral:lncRNA from 1 species
ACGGUUCAGGAAGAAGCUCUACAACUAUCUACGAGAACAGCGACUGGCGAUUUAGGAAGAAUUCUUGUGCAUAUCGUCUCUUCUUCCUCAACAAUCUCUGCUUCGUUUCACUCUGUAAUCGAAGAGAUUCCGGUGGCCAGCUUUCAAUCAGUAGUCAGUUGUUUCCUCAGGCGAGAUGGAAGCCAAAGAUCCAGUAUACCUGUAGAUGUUUAUAGUGAUCCUGGGUUGCAAUCGGAGACUUGAGAGAAAGAAAGCGCAAGAAGA